UACGGAGGGUGCAAGCGUUAUCCGGAUUCACUGGGUUUAAAGGGAGCGUAGGUGGGCUGGUAAGUCAGUGGUGAAAUCCCCGAGCUUAACUUGGGAACUGCCAUUGAUACUAUCAGUCUUGAAUAUUGUGGAGGUCAGCGGAAUAUGUCAUGUAGCGGUGAAAUGCUUAGAUAUGACAUAGAACACCAAUUGCGAAGGCAGCUGGCUACACAUAUAUUGACACUGAGGCUCGAAAGCGUGGGGAUCAAACAGG
rnacentral:rRNA from 1 species